AUUGAACGCUGGCGGCAGGCCUAACACAUGCAAGUCGAACGAGUGGCGGACGGGUGAGUAAUGUUUGGGAAACUGCCUGAUGGCGUGGGAUAACUACUGGAAACGGUAGCUAAUACCGCAUACCAUCGGAUGUGCCCAGAUGGGAUUAGCUAGUAGGUGGGGUAAAGGCUCACUUGGGCGACGAUCCCUAGCUGGUCUGAGAGGAUGACCAGCCGCACUGGAACUGAGACACGGUGCAGACGCCUACGGGAGGCAGCAGUGGGGAAUAUUGGACAAUGGGCGAAAGCCUGAUCCAGCCAUGCCGCGUGUGAGAAGAAGGUCUUCGGAUUGUAAAGCACUUUAAGUUUGGAGGCGUUACCAACAGAAUAAGCACCGGCUAACUUCGUGCCAGCAGCCGCGGUAAUUC
rnacentral:rRNA from 1 species